CAGCGCGUGGCCAAGUGGUGAACGCGCUUGACUUCCAAAUUUUGGGUCCCGGGUUCGAAGCCCAGAGGGUCGA